ACCACCUUGACAUGGCAGGAAUCCUGAAGAGUAUUGGGAGUGCUACGAAGAGAACCUGCACACAGGUGCUGCAUGGCUGUCGUCAGCUCGUGUCGUGAGAUGUUGGGUUAAGUCCCGCAACGAGCGCAACCCUUGCCAUUAGUUGCUACGAAAGGGCACUCUAAUGGGACUGCCGGUGACAACCGGAGGAAGGUGGGGAUGACGUCAAGUCCUCAUGGCCCUUAUAGGGUGGGCUACACACGUCAUACAAUGGCCGGUACAGAGGGUAGCCAACCCGCGAGGGGGAGCCAAUCCCACAAAGCCGGUCGUAGUCCGGAUCGCAGUCUGCAACUCGACUGCGUGAAGUCGGAAUCGCUAGUAAUCGCGGAUCAGCAUGUCGCGGUGAAUACGUUCCCGGGUCUU
rnacentral:rRNA from 1 species